UACAGAGGUCCCGAGCGUUGUUCGGAUUUAUUGGGCGUAAAGGGUGCGUAGGCGGCGGAGUAAGUUGGGUGUGAAAUCCCGGAGCUCAACUCCGGAACUGCACUUGAUACUGCCUUGCUCGAGUACUGGAGAGGAGACUGGAAUUUACGGUGUAGCAGUGAAAUGCGUAGAUAUCGUAAGGAAGACCAGUGGCGAAGGCGAGUCUCUGGACAGUUACUGACGCUGAGGCACGAAGGCCAGGGGAGCAAACGGG
rnacentral:rRNA from 1 species